rnacentral:rRNA from 1 species
UACGUAGGGUGCAAGCGUUAAUCGGAAUUACUGGGCGUAAAGCGUGCGCAGGCGGCUUUGCAAGACAGAUGUGAAAUCCCCGGGCUAACCUGGGAACUGCAUUUGUGACUGCAUGGCUGGAGUGCGGCAGAGGGGGAUGGAAUUCCGCGUGUAGCAGUGAAAUGCGUAGAUAUGACGGAGGAACACCGAUGGCGAAGGCAUCCCCUGGGCCUGCACUGACGCUCAUGCACGAAAGCGUGGGGAGCAAACAGG